UACAGAGGUCUCAAGCGUUGUUCGGAUUCAUUGGGCGUAAAGGGUGCGUAGGCGGCGCGGUAAGUCGGGUGUGAAAUCUUGGAGCUUAACUCCGAAACUGCAUUCGAUACUGCCGUGCUUGAGGACUGGAGAGGAGACUGGAAUUCAUGGUGUAGCAGUGAAAUGCGUAGAGAUCAUGAGGAAGACCAGUGGCGAAGGCGGGUCUCUGGACAGUUCCUGACACUGAGGCACGAAAGCUAGGGGAGCAAACAGG
rnacentral:rRNA from 1 species